CUUUGUAGCUAAGGUAUAAGCUUGAUCUAGUGAAGAAGUGUGCUACAAGUUAUUAAUCUUCCAUUUUGUGCUUCAGUACAUGAUUUCAGUAGGACAAUGAUCGAUACUUAUCGGUGGUUGUAGGUAGUAAUUGGUUGUGAUGGUGGCAAGUCAGUAGUUGCCAAUUUCCUUAACCUCAAACCUACAAAGAUGUUUCCGUUAUGUGCAGUUAGAGGUUUAACAAGCUACCCAACUAGUCAUUCAUUCGGCCACCAGUUAAUUCGUUUCAGGAAAGAUAACAUUCUUGUCGGAAGAACUCCAAUCGAUGAUAAUUUGGUUUUUUGGUUUUGUGUGCUACCCAACAUUCGUAAAGAUCAAAAGAAUUGGGAAGAUCCCGAGGCAAUACGACAAUCAACCCUAGAGUUGGUAAGCGAUCAUCCCCAUUAAAUUCGCGAAAUGAUAGAAAACACAAACAUGAAGUCAUUAUCUAUUA